CAGGUCCUUUCCUUUCUCCUACAGCACAGCCUGGAGCCUGACUCCUGUAGACUCUGGAAGAAGUGCAGUCACAGAACGCUCCAUGGUGAAGGAUUGUCAGAGGAGGAGGACACGUCCGACCCCAGGUUCCUACAAUAUAGGACCAGCUCAGUGGAUAUCUUCUAUAUAAGAUCCUUCUACUGAUUGAACCUUCAAGAAUGGAUAGGGACAGGGACAAGAUGGCGGAGAGUAUAAUACAUCUCACCCUAGAGAUCCUCUUCCGUCUUACUGGAGAGGACUACACAGUAGUGAAGAAGACCUCUAGUGAGCACUGUCAGG